rnacentral:lncRNA from 10 species
AAGUGCUGGGAUUACAGGCAUGAGCCACUGCGCCUGGCCAACUGCCCAACUUCUAACUGGUACUGCCUUCAACCAAGGAAUGGAUAGAGGUGGUGUAUAAAUACCCCAGCUUCCUGAUUGUUUUGCAGUGGGCAGGUCUAUGCAAACUUACCCCAAAGUCCAAGGAAGCUGAGAGGCUGAAGAGAUGAUGCUGACAUACUCAGUUCCUUAGAAAGAAACUUUUAAUAGAAACUUAGAAACAGAUGCCACGUCUGUGUCUCCUGCGGUGGCCAGACAAGAUGGUGGAUCCCCACUCCAUUAUCUCCCAGACCCAGGGCUUCUAUACCAUAGGAGAGGGGUGGUUCAGAAGGGAUGUGUAGAACAGUUGAAGUAAGAUAACAUCAAGGUUGUUUGACCUAAGGACAGGAUAUAGAGUCAGAACCUGCUCUUACACAAGGAAUAAUAGAUAAACUAGAAAUCUUAGAGGCCUUCUUGGAACAGGGGUUAAUCAGAAGCCAACAUGGCGGAUUAGCUUCCAAGAUGGAGUUGCUGAUCCUUCAGGUAAGAUAACUCUGAGACAUGUGUUCUACACAGGUGGAAUUAAGCUUCACUUGCCUAGGGCAGUAACUGUCUUGAUAACUUGCUUAAUAUUGGUUGUCCUCCUUUCCCUGGGUCUCUUUUCUUCUCUACUCGUAUUUCUUUUGCCUUCCAAAGAAGUGAUGUGUCCUUGAGUCUUUGUCUCAGGGUCUGUAUCUAGAGAAUCUAAACUAAGAUAUGAGGUGUGCCAACAGGGGAUUCCAAACUAAGACACUUAUCAAUUAGAUCCAAUUGCAAACGGUCUUGCUUUAAAUCUCCCCAAAAGAACAGAAUGGGACAUGCUGUUCUUCAACUAAACAGCACUCCUGUUUACCAUCUGGGGCCAAACCACGGGGCUCCUAUUCCCUGAGUGGAAGGACCUCAUCUUCCCAUGGUAUUCACAAGGCUCACACCCCACCUUUUCAUACAUAAAUCACCCCCUUUAUUUCACAUGAACAUCUUUGUUGUAUUUUGCAGAAAGUUACCCUUACUGAAACACAGAGGACGCUCUGUUGGUAGCUUUGGAAAUGGCCCUUGGGGCUCCAGCUGGGAGCAUCUCAUGUUCUUGUUCCUACGUAGUUACUUUCUGGGGAUAGUCACACAUGUUGAAUGUUGGCAGGGAAGAGUUACCCUAGUCCAACACUUUCAUUUGCCAAAAAUAAGUUUUGAGGAUGGCUGAUGGGAAAUCCCACAGUGCCUACCAAUGGUAUCAUGCUACUUUAUGCUGUUUUCUGAAUGUUCUUUCAUUUUAUAACGUGAAUAUAAUGAAUGUUUGCUGAUUUGGGGCCACCCUGAAUCUACGGCACUCUCUUCCAUGCCAAGUAACCUGAGUUUCCAUUUGGGAACCACCCCUUCUGGAAGUUCGCUCCAUCAGGAAGUUCCCUUGAGCCUGUAACCCAACAAGGAGCAUGUGACUUAGCACCAACGAACCAGAGCAGUGGAGGUACAAUAACUAUGAUGAUUGGCUAGGUACAGUGGCUCACGCCUGUAAUCCAGUGCUUUGGGAGGCUGAGGCGGGGGGAUGACCUGAGGUCAGGAGUUCGAGACCAG